rnacentral:rRNA from 1 species
UACGUAGGUGGCAAGCGUUGUCCGGAUUUAUUGGGCGUAAAGCGCUCGCAGGCGGUCUUUUAAGUCUGAUGUGAAAGCCCACGGCUUAACCGUGGAGGGUCAUUGGAAACUGGAGGACUUGAGUACAGAGGAGGAGAGUGGAAUUCCACGCGUAGCGGUGAAAUGCGUAGAGAUGUGGAGGAACACCAGUGGCGAAGGCGACUCUCUGGUCUGUAACUGACGCUGAGGAGCGAAAGCGUGGGGAGCGAACAGG